rnacentral:rRNA from 1 species
UACAGAGGGUGCGAGCGUUGUCCGGAAUCACUGGGCGUAAAGGGCGCGUAGGCGGUGACUUAAGCGUGUGGUGAAAGCUCGGGGCUCAACCCCGAGUCGGCCAUGCGAACUGGGUCACUGGAGCAGAUCAGAGGCAGGCGGAAUUCCGGGUGUAGCGGUGGAAUGCGUAGAGAUCCGGAAGAACACCGGUGGCGAAGGCGGCCUGCUGGGAUCUUGCUGACGCUGAGGCGCGACAGCGUGGGGAGCAAACAGG